AUUGAACGCUGGCGGCAGGCCUAACACAUGCAAGUCGAGCGAGCGGCGGACGGGUGCGUAAUGUCUGGGAAACUGCCUGAUGGAGGGGGAUAACUACUGGAAACGGUAGCUAAUACCGCAUACCAUCAGAUGUGCCCAGAUGGGAUUAGCUAGUAGGUGGGGUAACGGCUCACCUAGGCGACGAGCCCUAGCUGGUCUGAGAGGAUGACCAGCAACACUGGAACUGAGACAGGGUCCAGACUCCUACGGUAGGAAGCAGUGGGGAAUAGUGCAAAAUGGGCGCAAGCCUGAUGAAGCAAUGCGGCGGGUGUGAAGAAGGCCUUCGGGUUGUAAAGCACUUUCAGCGGGGAGGCGUUACCCGAAGAAGAAGCAACGGCUAACUCCGUGCCAGCCGCCGCGGUAAUAC
rnacentral:rRNA from 1 species